UCCCAACCAACGACCAAACCGCUCUGCGCUCCAAACCCCCCCGACGUCUGCGUUUUUAUAUCCACGCUUCACGCUGCGUCUCUGCGUCAUAGAGCCCUUAUUUGCAUACACCAACGACUUUUUCCAUUGGUGGACGCCUUCGCCGACGCGCUGACAUCCCCCGACACAAAGGCCGUGCUUCGGCACCGUUCCUUGAUUGGUUAGUCCGGCCGCAGGGAUGAAGAGGAUGUUGGCGGACUCCAGGUGUUUGCAGUUCAGAGACCCAGAGUUAAGCACCGACAAUACAGAUUCUUAAGCCUUGUUUGGAGGCACUGCUCCGAGCCGGCGUUAGAACCGUGCCCGAGGUGUACUAAGUAUGGAGGCAAGGAACUCCAAUUUCAAGGAAAGGCUUCCCUAUGAAACUGAAAACGCGCUGGUAAAAAACGAGAACCGCGACCGAACUGCAAUUCCCAGAAGCCAUCGCCAGCCGUCAGCAUCCGGGACACCGUCUGCAAAGAUCCCUGGGUAUUGUGGUCCCGUGC